GAGGAUUUAGCUUAAUUAAAGUGAAUGAUUUGCGUUCAUUUGAUGUAGGGAGAAGUCCUACAGUCCUUA
rnacentral:tRNA from 1 species